rnacentral:rRNA from 1 species
CAGUAGCCACGGUAAUACGUAGGUGGCAAGCGUUGUCCGGAAUUAUUGGGCGUAAAGGGCUCGCAGGCGGUUUCUUAAGUCUGAUGUGAAAGCCCCCGGCUCAACCGGGGAGGGUCAUUGGAAACUGGGAAACUUGAGUGCAGAAGAGGAGAGUGGAAUUCCACGUGUAGCGGUGAAAUGCGUAGAGAUGUGGAGGAACACCAGUGGCGAAGGCGACUCCCUUGUCUGUAACUGACGCUGAGGAGCGAAAGCGUGGGGAGCGAACAGGAUUAGAUACCCCCGUAGUCCCUGUCUCUUAUAC